rnacentral:rRNA from 1 species
CCUACGGGUGGCAGCAGUGAGGAAUAUUGGUCAAUGGACGCAAGUCUGAACCAGCCAUGCCGCGUGCAGGAAGACGGCUCUAUGAGUUGUAAACUGCUUUUGUACGAGGGUAAACGCAGAUACGCGUAUCUGUCUGAAAGUAUCGUACGAAUAAGGAUCGGCUAACUCCGUGCCAGCAGCCGCGGUAAUACGGAGGAUUCAAGCGUUAUCCGGAUUUAUUGGGUUUAAAGGGUGCGUAGGCGGUCGGAUAAGUUAGAGGUGAAAUCCCGAGGCUCAACUUCGGAAGUGCCUCUGAUACUGUUCGGCUAGAGAGUAGUUGCGGUAGGCGGAAUGUAUGGUGUAGCGGUGAAAUGCUUAGAGAUCAUACAGAACACCGAUUGCGAAGGCAGCUUACCAGGCUACUUCUGACGUUGAGGCACGAAAGCGUGGGGAGCGAACAGGAUUAGAUACCCGGGUAGUC